ACUCCGAAACUGCAUUCGGUACUGCCGUGCUCGAGGACUGGAGAGGAGACUGGAAUUUACGGUGUAGCGGUGAAAUGCGUAGAUAUCGUAAGGAAGACCAGUGGCGAAGGCGGGUCUCUGGACAGUUCCUGACGCUGAGGCACGAAGGUCAGGGGAGCAAACGGGAUUAGAUACCCCGGUAGUCCUGACAGUAAACGGUGCACGUUUGGUGUGGGAGGAUUCGACCCCUUCUGCGCCGGAGCUAACGCGUUAAACGUGCCGCCUGGGGAGUACGGUCGCAAGAUUAAAACUCAAAGAAAUUGACGGGGGCCCGCACAAGCGGUGGAGUAUGUGGCUCAAUUCGAUGCAACGCGAAGAACCUUACCAGGCCUUGACAUGCAUCUCUAAGUUGGUGAAAGCCAGCGAGUCCCGAAAGGGACAAUUUGCACAGGUGCUG
rnacentral:rRNA from 1 species